rfam:Ailuropoda melanoleuca scaffold87_143, whole genome shotgun sequence.
CGACAUAAAGGCAAUCUGGCUGUGAUGUCUGUCGCCCCAUUGAUCACCAAGGUCGAUUUUGAUGAUCCAGCUGAGUAGGCGGGUGUCCCCUUCCUCUCUCACCCCUUCCAAGUGCAUCCCUCCCAAAGCUUCAUGCUCAUUCAAAGAGGACAACCUUCCUCAAUAGAGGAAGACUGUUCUUCAGUCAAGGGUAUAUGAGUAGCUAUGCUCCCCUGCUAGAAUCUUCAAACAAGCUCUCACUCAAAAAACAAGCUAUAGCCAUGAAAAGACAUGAAGGAAACCUAAAAGUAUAUUACUAAAUUAAAGAAGCCAAUCUCAAAAGGCUACAU